GACCGCGUACCUCAGUUGGCAGAGCAUUGGGCUAGUAUUCCAAAGGUCGUAGGUUCGAUUCCCACCGUGGUCA
rnacentral:tRNA from 1 species